rnacentral:rRNA from 1 species
UGCAGUCGAACGAUGAACCGGUGCUUGCAUCGGGGAUUAGUGGCGAACGGGUGAGUAACACGUGAGUAACCUGCCCUUAACUCUGGGAUAAGCCUGGGAAACUGGGUCUAAUACUGGAUAUUGACUUUUCCUCGCAUGGGGUUUGGUUGAAAGAUUUUUUGGUUUUGGAUGGACUCGCGGCCUAUCAGCUUGUUGGUGGGGUAAUGGCCUACCAAGGCGACGACGGGUAGCCGGCCUGAGAGGGUGACCGGCCACACUGGGACUGAGACACGGCCCAGACUCCUACGGGAGGCAGCAGUGGGGAAUAUUGCACAAUGGGCGAAAGCCUGAUGCAGCGACGCCGCGUGAGGGAUGACGGCCUUCGGGUUGUAAACCUCUUUCAGUAGGGAACAAGGCCAAUGUUUAGUUGGUUGAGGGUACUUGCAGAAGAAGCGCCGGCUAACUACGUGCCAGCAGCCGCGGUAAUACGUAGGGCGCAAGCGUUAUCCGGAAUUAUUGGGCGUAAAGAGCUCGUAGGCGGUUUGUCGCGUCUGCCGUGAAAGUCCGGGGCUCAACUCCGGAUCUGCGGUGGGUACGGGCAGACUAGAGUGAUGUAGGGGAGACUGGAAUUCCUGGUGUAGCGGUGAAAUGCGCAGAUAUCAGGAGGAACACCGAUGGCGAAGGCANGGUCUCUGGGCAUUAACUGACGCUGAGGAGCGAAAGCAUGGGGGAGCGAACAGGAUUAGAUACCCUGGUAGUCCAUGCCGUAAACGUUGGGCACUAGGUGUNGGGGGACAUUCCACGUUUUCCGCGCCGUAGCUAACGCAUUAAGUGCCCCGCCUGGGGAGUACGGCCGCAAGGCUAAAACUCAAAGGAAUUGACGGGGGCCCGCACAAGCGGCGGAGCAUGCGGAUUAAUUCGAUGCAACGCGAAGAACCUUACCAAGGCUUGACAUGAACUGGAAACGCCCGGAAACGGGUGCCCCGCUUGCGGCCGGUUUACAGGUGGUGCAUGGUUGUCGUCAGCUCGUGUCGUGAGAUGUUGGGUUAAGUCCCGCAACGAGCGCAACCCUCGUUCUAUGUUGCCAGCACGUAAUGGUGGGGACUCAUGGGAGACUGCCGGGGUCAACUCGGAGGAAGGUGAGGACGACGUCAAAUCAUCAUGCCCCUUAUGUCUUGGGCUUCACGCAUGCUACAAUGGCCGGUACAAUGGGUUGCGAUACUGUGAGGUGGAGCUAAUCCCAAAAAGCCGGUCUCAGUUCGGAUUGGGGUCUGCAACUCGACCCCAUGAAGUCGGAGUCGCUAGUAAUCGCAGAUCAGCAACGCUGCGGUGAAUACGUUCCCGGGCCUUGUACACACCGCCCGUCAAGUCACGAAAGUUGGUAACACCCGAAGCCC